rnacentral:lncRNA from 10 species
AACAAGAUGUUCAUGGUCCCUGCAGGCUCUGAGGACCGGCGGCUGAGAUUAAACAACUUAUUACACAAAGAACCAUUUAAUUGCAAGCACAAUCACGCUUAGUGGAGAAGGAGAGAACGGAGCACGGUUUAAGAUGAUCUCCUCACCAGUUCUGCAAGCUGGGGAAACUGAGGCCCAGAAAAGAGACAUUCCCAGUGUCACGCAGUGCUGGGUUCCAGCUGGGCAGUGCUGGAAUCAAACCCCGGUCAACAGGGAGAGUCAGCUGCAGUUUGUCAGUGGAACAGCCUGAGCCGUGCGGCCGCGUUUCGCCAGAAAAUCACUCCCUGCUCAUCAUAACCGGCACCUCUCCAUGUCGGCCACACGAGGGCAGCAGCGCCCCGGCCAUCGCCGGGCUUCGCACUGAGGCUUCUUCCAUCCCUGCUGAGAACGACUGGGCGGUUGCAGCCAGCAAGGCUCAGAGGAGGAAGGGGCCACGUCGGGGACCUCUAGGGUCUGCGAGGGGCCCAGGCUGUGUCCUGCCCCCUCCGCUGCCUUGGUGCAUGAAAGACUCCACUUCUUCUGUGAAAUGGAGGCUUGUGUCCCCACCCAGGCAGCCCAGGCUCCGGAUAACAUCAAGUGCCUCUGCCAGGCUGGGGUGCGGCGAAUAAUCAAAAGAAGCACGGAACCACUGACCAGGUCCAAGUCUCCAUUUCACAGAAGUGGAGGCUUCAUGGUAUCACUGCCUCCGUGCAGAAGAAAAGGAGACUCCAGAGGCUGACGCAAUUUGCCUGAGGUAGACGCAGAGUCAGACUCAGAGGCCGUAUUGGUUCGUCCCACCGUCUUCCAGAGAGAAUGGGCUGCCUCCUGGAGCCCUGACCCACCCACGACAGCCCCCAGGAUGUCCUACAGCCAGUUGCAAACUCAGUUUGUCCAAAGCCAUUGCCCUUCCCUCUCUGUCUUCUGUCAGUGGGAGGCACCACUGCACAGAGACCCCCAGCCUGAAACCUGGCAUCUCCCAAAACUUCUCUGAGCUCCUUAACCCCACAUCUCCCAUCCAACUCAUCACCAAACUCUGUGGAUUCUCCCCAGGCCCGUUUUUUAAGAUGACAAAAAUUGCCUUGAACUACAUCUGGGCUGUGAUUUCGGAUUGGGACACACACUCUUCAGUUUGCUACA